rnacentral:rRNA from 1 species
GACGAACGCUGGCGGCGUGCUUAACACAUGCAAGUCGAACGGAAAGGCCCUGCUUUUGUGGGGUGCUCGAGUGGCGAACGGGUGAGUAACACGUGAGUAACCUGCCCUUGACUUUGGGAUAACUUCAGGAAACUGGGGCUAAUACCGGAUAGGAGCUCCUGCUGCAUGGUGGGGGUUGGAAAGUUUCGGCGGUUGGGGAUGGACUUGCGGCUUAUCAGCUUGUUGGUGGGGUAGUGGCUUACCAAGGCUUUGACGGGUAGCCGGCCUGAGAGGGUGACCGGCCACAUUGGGACUGAGAUACGGCCCAGACUCCUACGGGAGGCAGCAGUGCGGAAUAUUGCACAAUGGGCGGAAGCCUGAUGCAGCAACGCCGCGUGCGGGAUGACGGCCUUCGGGUUGUAAACCGCUUUCGCCUGUGACGAAGCGUGAGUGACGGUAAUGGGUAAAGAAGCACCGGCUAACUACGUG